AUGAGUCCAACUUCGGUCACAGUGGACGCUUAGAUUUUUAACCUCGAACCCACGUCUGGGACGCAGGUUUGGUUUAUGUGGCAGUAGAACGGGCAUCUGGCAGCCUGUGGACAGAAGGACAGAAAGGACAGCAGACAGUGUCCACCUCAGAUAAGCUACAGCUCAGUUACCUCUCAUCACUACGCAAUACAGCUGCUGCACUGCACUGCACAGCUCCACCCCCAGGGGGCAUGGCGCCCACUCUAGCCCCAGAGGGCGUGGCACCCACUCCACCCCCCAGGGGGCGUGGCACCCACUCCACAGAUCCAGUCUUCUCAGAUACUUUUAUAAACAAGCAUGAGUUUCUGUUUUUUUUGGGGUUUUUUUUGCAGGGGGGGGGGGGGGGACUUUCUUGUUUGUUUUUUGCUCUGACAAUGUGUGUGAUUGAUGACAGAUGCUUCGUGUACAAGGAGGCGGAGUCACCACCAAGUUGGCACCGUCCGUCACCGUUGGCGAUGCCUUCCAUCUGCUGCAUUUGACUGACACGCCUGUGAACGAGAGUGACGCCAAAAUGAACCAAUCACAGCAGGAGUAGGGAUGAGGUCAGCACAGGUACUAUUUAGAUCAGCUGUUUGGACAAAAAUGGGAAAAAAAAAGUGCCUGAAAGUCCAAGAAGAUGUGACAACAUUUAAUCAGAAAAAGACAAUGAGCCGUUCUUUCAUUCAGUUCAGUUCAUACUUGUAUUGUUGUCAGUAAUCAAUAACUGUUUGAUCAGUCACUUCAGUCAGACACACUUCAGUUCCCUGAUUAGCAAGCUAGCUUAUAUUAGCAGUCACUGACUCGUAGAAAUUGUUUUCUCACUUUUACACAAACCUCAGACACCGAUGAAACCUCUGACACGUUAGCUUGAGUUCAUAUUUCAUCUUUGAACAGGUUAGCAUUAGCAUGCUAAUACAUUUGUGCUCAGUUAUGGUGUAUAAAUUAAACCGUUAGAAACGGUUCCUUUUCAUUCCACACUUUAGCUGUUAACGGCAAAUGGACCAAAUGUUAGUCAGCUAACAUUAGCCUAAUUAAGUCAAUUACCUGUAGAGCAAUUACUAAUUAGCUAACAUUUGCUUGAUUGCUCAGGUAGCUAAUGCUACUUAGCGAAAAUUAGUUUGAUUAUGGUUCUUCUACGUAGACACAAAAUAUUCAGUAGGUUUAUUUUACUAAUUAGCUAGGUGCUAGCUGAGUUGGUUUGGGACAGAAUUAAUAUUAGCAUGUAAGCUAACCAAGGUUUCAUUGUCUAUAAAUAUUCUAUCAGAUAAUUCUACAGGCUAACGUUACUGACAUUUACCUGGAAUUACUCGUACAAAUCACUGGAAAAUUAACGAAAUGAACAGUUCUGUCUGACCUCAAACACACUGAGCUCAGACCGGUUCAGAUCAGCGCUCUCGUACACAUCACCGUGACGACGGCGGUCACAUGCAGCAGAAGUAACACGUUGCUGAUGGCCGGCGGCUCUGAUUGGCCGACAGCGAUCGGGUAAAGACAGGGGGAGGAGCCGGACCCUGUCAGACCAGAUGGAUGUAGAACCCAGACCAGGAAUCUGGACUCAAACUCUCCACAGGUCAGAGUUCACCUGCUGGAGGGUGGGAGCAGGUCACAUGACCUGUCAACCAAAGGAAAGAGGGCGUGGCCUCGCUGGGCUUAAGGCACCAAAACAACUUGAGCACUUAAAGAGACGAAAACGGAACUUCUUAUAAAAACAGAACGAUGAAAAACCAACACAUACGAUCAGACCGACAGGUUUGAAGUCCUCCAGGUUUAUAGGACACAUGUCCAUGUUUCUGAGACACGUGUGUCCAGGCUGUGGUGGACACGUGUCCUUUGUCUCCGGUAGCUCAUGGAUGGGCUGCUCCUGUUUUUCUCCUCAGCUGUGAAUCUCCUUUUCAGUGGGCGGUCCUCUCAGUGGGCGGUCCUCUCAGUGGGCGGUCCGUCUCAGUGGACGGUCCUUCUCAGUGGGUGGUCCUCAGUGGAUGGUCAUUUUCAGUGGACGGUCCUCUCAGUGGGCGGUCCUUCUCAGUGGACGGUCAGUUUUUUUAUGCAAGUGAAGCCGACGGCUCUGUCCUCGCUGCGGCGGCCAGACUCGACCUGACGCCGCCAUCGUCUCCUUCUUCAGGCUAACCCAGGAACUAUCAGGUAUACAGACUCAAAUGGACGUUUACUUUCCCCACGUAGCAGAACGCUAAUGCUAACGCUAACCUCGGUGCAAAGUGCACGCCUCAGAUUCAAACACACCUGAAUGGAAACCACAGCAGCAGCAGGGACUGAGCUGGGCAACAUGGACCGAACCCACCUGUGGGUCCAGACCAAUCAGAACCGGGUCAGCAGCUCCAAAACCAGCCAAACUUCAAUGCCCAACUGUCAGUAAAUGCACCUCAGAUGAUCUGGUCUGAGACACCCGUUCCACAGGACAAUUAAGACCAUACCAGCCAUUAGCAUGUGGCUAAUGCUAAGGCUAAGCUAAGGCAUCCCGUCACUGCCUGAUCUAAAACAGACUUUUGUCCCAUCACAUGGAACAACACGCUACUUCCUGUUCUUCAGCAAUUUAUCACACUUUCAGGGAUCUAAACAGAUACUGUUGUUUUUGGUUUAACAGGUUCAAUUCAAUAAAACUGUUAAAGUCACUGUCCUUCUGUUUAUGAAGCAGACAAUCCAGUCAGCUAACUGUAGUCAGCUAACUGUAGUCAGCUAACUGUAGACAGCUAACAGUAGACAGCUAACUGUAGUCAGCUAACAGUAGACAGCUAACAGUAGUCAACUAACUGUAGUCACCUAACUGUAGUCAGCUAACUGUCGUCAGCUAACUGUAGUCAGCUAACAGUAGACAGCUAACAGUAGUCAGCUAACAGUAGUCAGCUAACAGUAGUCAGCUAACAGUAGUCAGCUAACAGUAGUCAGCUAACUGUAGUCAGCUAACAGUAGUCAGCUAACAGUAGUCAACUAACUGUAGUCAGCUAACUGUAGUCAGCUAACAGUAGCUAGCAUGCUAAAACAGUGAGAAAGCAUCUCUAGCUUCAGAAGCAAAAACAGAGUCAGAAAAACAAAGGCGACGUUCUGUGGAAACGCUGACGGAAUGAACCUGUGUUUGUGGUGGAUCAGGAUCAGGUGGAUCAGGAUCAGGUGGAGUCAACGGCGGGAGCUGAGUCUGUUUCCUGGAGGUGAGAAACUGAACCCAGAUUGGACCAGGAAACAUUCUUCACUCUGGGACUAUUUUUUUUCUGAAAGUCGACUGUGGUUCAGUUUGACUUGCAAAGCAAAAACAUUUUAUUGUUAAUUUCCGACAUAUCGGUGAGACAUCGGCCAUGUUGCUCAGCUCCAGCACAACCCGUUCAUCCAACAGAACCUCCAGGAAUAAACAGACUUUACUCACUCAGACCAUCGAUGGUCCUGGUUCUGAUGGACAGACCAUUCAUGGUCCUGGUUCUGGGUUGGACCGGUCCAGUUUCAGAUGGUGAACUUCUGCUGCUCAGUUUCUAAACUCCUACGUGAACCUCAGUAACCACAAACCUCGGAAGGCCAUCGGUCGGUCCUUGUUUUUUCACUCUUUUCUGUUUGUCAUCAGUCAUGUUUUAAUUUCAUGCCGGUUCCAAACGCCGCCGCCAGUUCACACUUCAUUCUAAAGGAAAAGUCAGAUUGGAUUAAAGGUGGUGGGUAAAGUUUAACAUUCGAAACCUCAGACAAGUUAGCUUGAGUUCAUAUUGAAUCUUUGAACAGGUUAGCAUUAGCAUGCUAACACAUUUGUGCUCAGUUAUGGUGUAUAAAUUAAACCGUUAGAAACGGUUCCUUUUCAUUCCACACUUUAGCCGCUAACAGCUAAUGGACCAAAUGUUAGUCAGCUAACAUUAGCCUAAUUAACCCAGUUACCUAUAGAGCAAAGACUAAUUAGCUAACAUUUGCUUGAUUGCUAACAUAGCUAAUGCUACUCAGCUAACAUUAGUUUGAUUAUGGCUCUUCUACGUAGACACUAAAUGUUCAGUAGGUUUAUUUUACUAAUUAGCUAAGUGCUAGCUGAGUUAGUUUGGGACAGAAUUAAUAUUAGCAUGUAAGCUAACCAAGGUUUCAAUGUUUAUAAAUAUUAAUAGCAGAUAAUUCUACAGGCUAACGUUACUGACAUUUACCUGGAAUUACUCGUACAAAUCACUGGAAAAUUAACAAAAUGAACAAUAAGAACAUAAUCCAGCUUCAU